UCCUAACUGAACAAAACAAAGUCGGGAACAAUGGAUUAAUGGAUAUGUAAAAGCCAUAAGGAGAACAGAACUAAAAAUAAAAUAUGAAAGAAUAUGCAAUAAACAUUAUAUAAAAGUGGAAAGCCAGCCACUUUAAAAAGAUAUUCCAAACUAAAACAUGGGUUACCAAAGCAGGCAAUAAAAAGAAAAGGUGAUCUAGAAUGCAAGAGAAGAGCUGAUGAAAGAAGGAAAUGUAAAGAAAAUAAUGAAGAGACUUCUCUCGACCAUGUAAGUAUAAGAUAUUAAGAUAUAGUUUAUUACAAUAUGGUUAGAUGCAAAGCUCACCAUGUUUUAAUGCAUAUAGCCUAAACUGUCCUUCAAUCUUUUUCUAAUGGUGCUACAACCCUUUGUGAGUCUUGGUGUGCUUAACAACAUUCUGCCCUGCCAGAUACUUUUCUGAUGUUCAUGGUUUUAAGAUCCCCCUCUAUAUCGUCUAUCCAUCUUUUAUGGGCCCUUCCAUCUCUGGAUUACUUGUACAGCUCGAUUAUCUGGCAUUUUUCUGAGUGAUCAAGCCAAUUUAGUCUUUGAGAUUUUACAAUUCUAACAAUAUCUGCGCUCUGCAUUAGUAUUAUCCAGCUCGUGGUUCAUUUUAAUUCUCCACAAACCAUCACUGCAAUGUGUAGAUUUGUUUUGUAGAUUCUAAGGUUAGACUUAGUAACUUACUUUUCGUCAAGUCUUUGUAUGCAUAAAAUCACUUAUUGCUGCUAAGAAUCCAUGCUUUUCUUGACUGGCGUUGUUGUCAUUUAUUAUUGAGUCUGGGUAGUGAAAAUGGGAGGCAUAUUCGUAGGUAUGGUUUUCUACCUUUAGAUGUUCAUGUUGAUUUUACUUUGUGCACUCUAUAUAUUUUGUUUUACUUUCAUUUAUAUAUAAACUAAACAUAGUAGCUUCCCAUUUCAGAUCUAUAGCUUUUUCUUUUAAUACCUUUUUGUUGUGGCUUAUUAUGGCAACUGCCCUUAUAUAAAACUAACUAAACUAACCUAAACCUUAUAGGUAUAACUGUCCUAAUAUUAAAAUACAGUUGUCCCUUGAUAGUCCGACAGGUAUGGGACCAAAAGGUCAGAUUACCGAGCAUGUCAGAGUAUCAAGUGUGUACUGUACUUUUGUGGUACUUUCCACAUUUGUAUGAUUUUUAUGGUACACAACGUAAAAUUUUUAUUUAUGUAUUUGUUUUUAGGAACUAAACACCAGCUAUUUUAUAUAUGUAGAAAAAUGAAAAACUGCUGGAAUUUUAAUUUAAAGGCUUUUGACUAGUGAAGAUUUGGAUAAACAACAGGAGUUACUUUGGGCUAUAGCUACGUGCAAAUUUAUUUUCUUGUGGCUUCCUAUGUUUAUUCUUAUUAACUAUAUCUACACUUUGAUAUGUUUUUAGUCGCAUGAAGAUUUUAUAGUUUAUUAUUUUAUGUAUAUUGUUAUAUUUGUGUUGAAUAAACAUUAUUAUUAUUAUUA